rnacentral:rRNA from 1 species
UACGUAGGGGGCUAGCGUUGUCCGGAUUUAUUGGGCGUAAAGAGCGUGUAGGCGGCCAGGUAAGUCAGGUGUGAAACCUCCAGGCUCAACCUGGAGACGCCACCUGAUACUGCUGUGGCUAGAGUCCGGUAGGGGAGCGUGGAAUUCCUGGUGUAGCGGUGAAAUGCGCAGAUAUCAGGAGGAACACCAGCGGCGAAGGCGGCGCUCUGGGCCGGAACUGACGCUGAGGAGCGAAAGCGUGGGUAGCAAACAGG